rnacentral:rRNA from 1 species
UACAGAGGGUGCGAGCGUUGUCCGGAAUCACUGGGCGUAAAGGGCGCGUAGGCGGCUUGAUAAGCGUGCGGUGAAAGCCCGGGGCUUAACCCCGGGUCUGCAUUCGAUACGGGCAGGCUAGAGUUCGGUAGGGGAGAUCGGAAUUCCUGGUGUAGCGGUGAAAUGCGCAGAUAUCAGGAGGAACACCAAUUGCGAAGGCAGCUCGCUGGGACGUUACUGACGCUGAGACGCGAAAGCGUGGGGAGCAAACAGG